rnacentral:rRNA from 1 species
UACGUAGGGGGCAAGCGUUGUCCGGAUUUAUUGGGCGUAAAGAGCGUGUAGGCGGCUUGGUAGGUCCGCUGUGAAAACUCGAGGCUCAACCUCGAGAUGUCGGCGGAAACCACUUGGCUAGAGUCCGGAAGAGGAGAGUGGAAUUCCUGGUGUAGCGGUGAAAUGCGCAGAUAUCAGGAAGAACACCUAUGGCGAAGGCAGCUCUCUGGGGACGGUACUGACGCUGAGACGCGAAAGCGUGGGGAGCGAACAGA